rnacentral:rRNA from 1 species
CCUACGGGGGGCUGCAGUGGGGAAUAUUGGACAAUGGGGGCAACCCUGAUCCAGCCAUGCCGCGUGUGUGAAGAAGGCCCUCGGGUUGUAAAGCACUUUCAGUGAGGAAGAACGCCUGGUGGUUAAUACCCAUCAGGAAAGACAUCACUCACAGAAGAAGCACCGGCUAACUCCGUGCCAGCAGCCGCGGUAAUACGGAGGGUGCGAGCGUUAAUCGGAAUUACUGGGCGUAAAGCGCGCGUAGGUGGCUUGAUAAGCCGGUUGUGAAAGCCCCGGGCUCAACCUGGGAACGGCAUCCGGAACUGUCAAGCUAGAGUGCAGGGGAGGAAGGUAGAAUUCCCGGUGUAGCGGUGAAAUGCGUAGAGAUCGGGAGGAAUACCAGUGGCGAAGGCGGCCUUCUGGACUGACACUGACACUGAGGUGCGAAAGCGUGGGUAGCAAACAGGAUUAGAUACCCUUGUAGUC